UACAUAGGGUGCAAGCGUUGUCCGGAAUUAUUGGGCGUAAAGAGCUCGUAGGUCGUUUGUUACGUCGGAUGUGAAAACCUGAGGCUCAACCUCAGGCCUGCAUUCGAUACGGGCAAACUAGAGUUUGGUAGGGGAGACUGGAAUUCCUGGUGUAGCGGUGGAAUGCGCAGAUAUCAGGAGGAACACCAAUGGCGAAGGCAGGUCUCUGGGCCAAUACUGACACUGAAGGAGCGAAAGUCUGGGGAGCGAACAGG
rnacentral:rRNA from 1 species